CUGAAAGUGUAGAAGUUGAGCGAGCCGGUUGAGACACAGUGGUGCAGAAUACAGACAUGCUCCUGCAGAAGUCUCCCUCCUUGAGCUAACUCCCUCUCGCUCAGAAGGCGUUGUUGUUUUGAACAUUUAAUUGUUAAUUGCUCUUUAAAUUCUAUAGAGUAUCGCCAAUCAUUCGCCAUUUGACUUCAGACUGGAUAGCACAGACUCGUCGACUCAAAACAAGCAACUCAUCGUUCCCCUCAAAGAUGCUUCAUCGUGAAUUGACCGCAGAAAAAAAUAAUCUGAAAAUCAAAUACAUUCUACCCAAAUUAAUAGGCUAGGCCUACAUCUGAAUUUUAGAUUUUUAAAAAUCACGAAUCAUUGCUUUCACAAAGCCUGUGAUUAAGGCCAGUGGUGCCUGGUUCCCUUGCUGAGGCUGGUCCCAGUGAUGGCUCGUCUCCUCCUCUGGACAUCGAGGGAGCUCCGGCGAACUCGGUCCGGGAGGUCCUGGAUUUCGAGGCGUCGGGAGGGUCGUCUCCAGUACCUCAUCGACUGGGAGAGGUACGGCCCAGAGGAGCAGUGCUGCGUUCCUGUGGUGGACAUCCUUCGCUGACCAGGGAUUUUCACCGUCGGCGCCCAGAUCAACCCCCCCCCCCCCCCCCCCCCGCGCCCCUAUGGUCGUCCCCGAGGCCAGUGUCGCAUCGGAGGGGGGAGGGGAGGGGGGUACUGUCACGGAUCCCCUCGGUACUGCUGCUCAUUCUGUUCACCAGUUCCGGAGGUCAACGUCACCAGCUUUCUAGGCUUCACUGAACGGGUUUCAUUAUCAUCAACCCCAGACGGUCUUGUCUGAUUACACACACCUGGUUCCCAUUUCCCCUGAUUUGUAUGUUAUAUAAAUUAUAUGCCCUCUGUUCCCUCUGUCUUUGUCGGUUAUUUUUCCCAUGUCUGUUGGUCGUGUGAGUACCUAUGCGUUGGUGCAGCUAUUAUGCUGCGUGCUUUAUAUAUUGUGUAUUAUCGUCCCGUGUCCUCUUUUGUUUGGGUACAAACAAGUGUUUUGUAUACGUGUUUGUUUUGGGUGUAUUAAAAAACCCUAUUGUGUA